rnacentral:rRNA from 1 species
UACGAAGGGGGCUAGCGUUGCUCGGAAUCACUGGGCGUAAAGCGCACGUAGGCGGCUUUCUAAGUCAGGGGUGAAAUCCUGGAGCUCAACUCCAGAACUGCCUUUGAUACUGGAGAGCUUGAGUCCGGGAGAGGUGAGUGGAACUCCGAGUGUAGAGGUGAAAUGCGUAGAUAUUGGGAGGAACACCAGUGGCGAAGGCGGCUCACUGGACCGGAACUGACGCUGAGGCGCGAAAGCGUGGGGAGCAAACGGG